GACGAACGCUGGCGGCGUGCUUAACACAUGCAAGUCGAACGGAAAGGCCCUGCUUUUGUGGGGUGCUCGAGUGGCGAACGGGUGAGUAACACGUGAGUAACCUGCCCUUGACUUUGGGAUAACUUCAGGAAACUGGGGCUACUACCGGAUAGGAGCUCCUGCUGCAUGGUGGGGGUUGGAACGUUUCGGCGGUUGGGGAUGGACUCGCGGCUUAUCAGCUUGUUGGUGGGGUAGUGGCUUACCAAGGCUUUGACGGGUAGCCGGCCUGGGAGGGUGACCGGCCACAAUGGGACUGAGAUACGGCCCAGACUCCUACGGGAGGCAGCAGUGGGGAAUAUUGCACAGUGGGCGGAAGCCUGAGGCGGCAACGCCGCGUGCGGGAUGACGGCCUUCGGGGUGUAAACCGCUUUCGCCUGUGACGAAGCGUGAGUGACGGUAAUGGGUAAAGAAGCACCGGCUAACUACGUG
rnacentral:rRNA from 1 species